GAUGAACGCUGGCGGCGUGCCUAACACAUGCAAGUCGAGCGAACAGACGAUGAGCUUGCUCCUUUGACGUUAGCGGCGGACGGGAGAGUAACACGUGUAUAACCUACCUAUAAUACUGGGAUAACUUCGGGAAACCGGAGCUAAUACCGUAUAAUAUAUUGAACCGUAUUGGUCAAUAGUAAAAUACGGCUUUUCUGUCACUUCUCGCUGCAUCUGCGCUGCAUUAGCUAGUUGGUAGGUUAACGGCUUACCAAGGCGACGAUGCGUAGCCGACGUGAGAGAGUGAUCGCCCACCCUGGAACUGGGACACGGUCCAGACUACUACGGGAGGCAGCAGUAGGGAAUCUUCCGCAAUGGGCGAAAGCCUGACGGAGCAACGCCACGUGAGUGAUGAAGGUCUUCGGAUCGUAAAACCCUGUUAUUAGGGAAAAACAAAUGUGUAAGUAACUGUGCACGUCUUGACGGUACCUAAUAAGAAAGCCACGGCUAACUACGUG
rnacentral:rRNA from 1 species